AUUGAACGCUGGCGGCAGGCCUAACACAUGCAAGUCGAGCGGAUGACGGGAGCUUGCUCCUUGAUUCAGCGGCGGACGGGUGAGUAAUGCCUAGGAAUCUGCCUGGUAGUGGGGGACAACGAUUCGAAAGGAACGCUAAUACAGCAUACGUCCUACGGGAGAAAGCAGGGGACCUUGGGGCCUUGCUCUAUGAGAUGAGCCUAGGUCAGAUUAGCUAGUGGGUGGGGUAAUGGAUCACCAAGGCGACGAUCCGUAACUGGUCUGAGAGGAUGAUCAGUCACACUGGAACUGAGACACGGUCCAGACUCCUACGGGAGGCAGCAGUGGGGAAUAUUGGACAAUGGGCGAAAGCCUGAUCCAGCCAUGCCGCGUGUGUGAAGAAGGUCUUCGGAUUGUAAAGCACUUUAAGUUGGGAGGAAGGGCAGUAAGUUAAUACCUUGCUGUUUUGACGUUACCGACAGAAUAAGCACCGGCUAACUCUGUGCCAGCAGCCGCCGUAAAAC
rnacentral:rRNA from 1 species